UUUAAAAAAGUCUUCUUUGACCUCUAGUCAUUACAAAUGAGGUUUACAGCUGAACUACAUGCCUUUCAGAACCAACCCACUACAUUCUGGUGAAAA